CUGGAGGGGGGGGAUCAUAUCUGGGGGCGGGGCGGGUCAAGUUAUGGGGGUGGAAAAGGCUCUGGAUACGGAGGAGGAGGAAGCUCAGGUGGUGGAUCCAUAUCUGGGGGUGGAAAAGGCUCUGGAUAUGGAGGAGGAGGAAGUUCUGGCGGUGGAUCCAUAUCUGGGGGUGGAAAAGGCUCAGGAUAUGGAGGAGGAGGAAGCUCAGGUGGUGGAGGCUCCAUAUCUGGAGGAGGAAAAGGCUCAGGAUAUGGAGGAGGAGGAGGAAGCUCAGGUGGCUCCAUCUGUGGAGGAGGAAGCUCAGGUGGAGGAGGCUCCAUUUCCAAGGGUGGCAGCAGCUCGGGGGGUUAUGGGGGUGGUGGGUCAAGUUAUGGAGGAGGAAAAGGCUCUGGAUAUGGAGGAGGAGGAAGCUCAGGUGGUGGAUCCAUCUCUGGGGGUGGAAAAGGCUCAGGAUAUGGAGGAGGAAGUUCUGGUGGUGGAUCCAUCUGUGGAGGAGGAAGCUCAGGGGGUGGAUCCAUAUCUGGGGGUGGAAAAGGCUCAGGAUAUGGAGGAGGAGGAAGCUCAGGCAGUGGAGGCUCCAUAUCUGGGGGUGGGUCAAGUUAUGGAGGAGGAAAGGGCUCUGGAUACGGAGGAGGAGGAGGAAGCUCAGGUGGCUCCAUCUGUGGAGGAGGAAGCUCUGGCGGUGGCUCCAUAUCUGGGGGAGGAAAAGGCUCAGGGUAUGGAGGAGGAAGUUCUGGUGGUGGAUCCAUCUGUGGAGGAGGAAGUUCAGGGGGUGGAUCCAUAUCUGGAGGAGGAAAAGGCUCAGGAUAUGGGGGAGGAGGAAGCUCAGGUGGCUCCAUCUGUGGAGGAGGAAGCUCUGGCGGUGGCUCCAUAUCUGGGGGAGGAAAAGGCUCAGGGUAUGGAGGAGGAGGAAGCUCAGGUGGUGGAGGCUCCAUAUCUGGGGGUGGGUCAAGUUAUGGAGGAGGAAAAGGCUCAGGGUAUGGAGGAGGAAGCUCAGGUGGCUCCAUCUGUGGAGGAGGAAGUUCAGGUGGUGGAGGCUCCAUUUCCAAGGGUGGCAGCAGCUCAGGGGGUUAUGGGAGUGGUGGGUCCAGUUAUGGAGGAGGAAAAGGCUCAGGAUACGGAGGAGGAAGUUCUGGUGGUGGCUCCAUCUGUGGAGGAGGAAGUUCAGGUGGUGGAGGCUCCAUAUCUGGGGGAGGAAAAGGCUCAGGAUAUGGAGGAGGAGGAAGCUCAGGUGGCUCCAUCUGUGGAGGAGGAAGCUCUGGUGGUGGAUCCAUAUCUGGGGGUGGAAAAGGCUCAGGGUAUGGAGGAGGAAGUUCUGGUGGCUCCAUCUGUGGAGGAGGAAGCUCAGGUGGUGGAUCCAUAUCUGGAGGAGGAAAAGGCUCAGGAUAUGGAGGAGGAAGCUCUGGUGGUGGAGGCUCCAUUUCCAAGGGUGGCAGCAGCUCAGGGGGUUAUGGGGGCGGUGGGUCAAGUUAUGGAGGAGGAAAAGGCUCUGGAUACGGAGGAGGAGGAAGCUCAGGUGGUGGAUCCAUCUCUGGGGGUGGAAAAGGCUCUGGAUACGGAGGAGGAGGAAGCUCAGGUGGUGGAUCCAUAUCUGGAGGAGGAAAAGGCUCAGGAUAUGGAGGAGGAGGAAGCUCAGGUGGCUCCAUCUGUGGAGGAGGAAGUUCUGGUGGAGGCUCCAUAUCUGGGGGUGGAAAAGGCUCAGGAUACGGAGGAGGAAGUUCUGGUGGUGGAUCCAUAUCUGGGGGUGGAAAAGGCUCAGGAUAUGGAGGAGGAAGUUCUGGAGGUGGCUCCAUCUGUGGAGGCGGAAGCUCAGGUGGUGGAUCCAUAUCUGGGGGUGGAAAAGGCUCAGGAUAUGGAGGAGGAGGAAGCUCAAGCAGUGGAGGCUCCAUAUCUGGGGGUGGGCAGAGCUCUGGUGGAGGAUCCAUAUCUAGUGGUGGUGGAUCCAUCUGUGGGGGUGGAAGAGGUUCAGGGUAUGGAAGACAGGGAAGUUCUAGUGGAGGAGGCUCCAUCUCUGGGGGUGGGCAGAGCUCUGGCAGUGGCCGGUGCAGCCCCCAGAGCGGUGGGAUAAGCUCUGGAGGUGGGAGCAGCUCAGGAAGGAGAGGCUCCAUCUCUGGGAGUGGCCAGAGCUCAGGGUAUGGAAGACAGGGAAGCUCCAGUGGUGGAGGCUCCAUCUCUGGAGGUGGCCAGAGCUCUGGUGGUCACGGAUCCAUCUCUGGAGGUGGGAGUAGCUGUGGCAGGAGAGGUUCCAUCUCUGGAGGAGGGCAGAGCUCUGGUGGUCAUGGAUCAGGCUCUGGAGGUGGCAGCAGCUGUGGCAGGAGAGGUUCCAUCUCUGGAGGUGGGCAGAGCUCAGGAGGUCACGGAUCCGGUUCUGGAGGUGGGCAGAGCUCAGGAAGUCAUGGACAUGGGUCUGGCAGUGGCAGGUGCAGCCCCCAGAGUGGUGGGAUAAGUUCUGGUGGUGGCAACAGCUGUGGCAGAAGAGGCUCCAUCUCUGGAGGUGGGCAGAGCUCUGGUGGUCACGGAUCCAGCUCUGGAGGUGGGCAGAGCUCAGGAGGUCAUGGAUCCAGCUCUGGAGGUGGCAGCAGUUGUGGCAGGAGAGGCUCCAUCUCUGGAGGUGGGCAGAGCUCUGGUGGUCAUGGAUCCAGCUCUGGAGGUGGCAGCAGCUGUGGCAGGAGAGGCUCCAUCUCUGGAGGUGGGCAGAGCUCAGGAGGUCAUGGACAUGGGUCUGGCAGUGGCAGGUGCAGCCCCCAGAGUGGUGGGAUAAGUUCUGGAGGUGGGAGCAGCUGUGGCAGGAGGGGCUCCAUCUCUGGAGGUGGGCAGAGCUCAGGAGGUCAUGGAUCCAUCUCUGGAGGUGGGCAGAGUUCUGGUGGUCAUGGAUCAGGCUCUGGAGGUGGGAGCAGCUGUGGCAGGAGAGGCUCCACCUCUGGAGGUGGGGGACAGGGAAGCUCCAGUGGUGGAGGCUCCAUCUCUGGAGGAGGGCAGAGCUCUGGUGGUCAUGGAUCAGGCUCUGGAGGUGGCAGCAGUUGUGGCAGGAGAGGCUCCAUCUCUGGAGGUGGGCAGAGCUCAGGAGGUCAUGGAUCCAUCUCUGGAGGUGGGAGCAGCUGUGGCAGGGGAGGCUCCAUCUCUGGAGGUGGAGGAGGAGGAAUAAGCUCUGGUGGGUGCAUUGGAGGGGGAGAAGGAGGUUCAGGGUAUGGAGGGAGCUCUGGGUAUGGGGGAGGUUCAGGGUAUGGAGGAGGCUCUGGAUACGGAGGGAGUUCAGGGUAUGGAGGCAGCUCAGGCAGGAGAGGAUCCAUCUCUGGAGGAGGAGGAGGAGGAAGCUCAGGACAUGGAGGAUCAAGUUCUGGUGGGUGCAUUGGUGGGGGAGAAGGAGGUUCAGGGUAUGGGGGGAGCUCAGGGUAUGGGGGGAGUUCAGGCAGGAGAGGUUCCAUCUCUGGAGGAGGAAGUUCAGGUCAUAGAGGAUCAAGUUCUGGUGGGUGCAUUGGAGGGGGAGAAGGAGGUUCAGGAUAUGGAGGGAGCUCUGGGUAUGGGGGAGGUUCUGGAUAUGGAGGAGGCUCUGGAUAUGGAGGGAGUUCAGGGUAUGGGGGCAGCUCAGGCAGGAGAGGGUCCAUCUCUGGAGGAGGAAGUUCAGGUCAUGGAGGAUCAAGUUCUGGUGGCUGCAUUGGAGGGGGUGAAGGUGGUUCAGGGUAUGGAGGGAGCUCAGGGUAUGGGGGAGGUUCAGGAUAUGGAGGGAGCUCAGGGUAUGGAGGGAGCUCAGGCAGGAGAGGUUCCAUCUCUGGAGGAGGAGGAGGAAGCUCAGGUCAUGGAGGAUCAAGUUCUGGUGGGUGCAUUGGUGGGGGAGAAGGAGGUUCAGGGUAUGGAGGGAGCUCAGGGUAUGGAGGGAGCUCUGGGUAUGGAGGAAGUUCUGGAUAUGGAGGGAGCUCAGGUAGGAGAGGCUCCAUCUCUGGAGGAGGAGGAGGAAGCUCAGGACAUGGUGGAUCCAGUUAUGGCAGUGGUGGAUCCAUCUGUGGAGGAGAAGGAGGUUCAGGGUAUGGAGGAGGUUCUGGAUAUGGAGGCAGCUCAAGCAGGAGAGGCUCCAUCUCUGGAGGAGGAAGCUCAGGGUAUGGAGGAUCAAGUUCUGGUGGGUGCAUUGGAGGGGGUGAAGGUGGUUCAGGGUAUGGAGGAGGUUCUGGAUAUGGAGGGAGCUCAGGGUAUGGGGGGAGCUCAGGCAGGAGAGGCUCCAUCUCUGGAGGAGGAAGCUCAGGUCACAUAGGAUCGAGUUCUGGUGGCUGCAUUGGUGGGGGAGAAGGAGGUUCAGGGUAUGGAGGAAGUUCUGGAUAUGGAGGGAGCUCUGGGUAUGGAGGAGGGAGCUCUGGGUAUGGAGGCAGCUCGGGCAGGAGAGGUUCCAUCUCUGGAGGAGGAGGAGGAAGCUCAGGUCAUGGUGGAUCCAGUUAUGGCAGUGGUGGGUGCAUUGGAGGGGGAGAAGGAGGCUCAGGGUAUGGAGGAGGCUCUGGGUAUGGGGGAGGUUCUGGAUAUGGAGGAAGCUCCGGGUAUGGGGGGAGCUCAGGCUAUGGAGGGAGCUCAGGCAGGAGAGGAUCCAUCUCUGGAGGAGGAAGUUCAGGCAGGAGAGGUUCCAUCUCUGGAGGAGGAGGAGGAAGCUCAGGUCAUGGUGGAUCCAUCUGUGGAGGAGAAGGAGGUUCAGGGUAUGGAGGAGGCUCUGGGUAUGGAGGAAGUUCUGGAUAUGGAGGCAGCUCAGGCAGGAGAGGCUCCAUCUCUGGAGGAGGAGGAGGAAGCUCAGGACAUGGAGGAUCCAGUUCUGGUGGGUGCAUUGGAGGGGGAGAAGGAGGCUCAGGGUAUGGAGGAGGCUCUGGGUAUGGGGGAGGUUCUGGAUAUGGAGGGAGCUCAGGCUAUGGAGGCAGCUCAAGCAGGAGAGGCUCCAUCUCUGGAGGAGGAAGUUCAGGCAGGAGAGGUUCCAUCUCUGGAGGAGGAGGAAGCUCAGGUCAUGGAGGAUCCAUCUGUGGAGGAGAAGGAGGUUCAGGGUAUGGAGGAGGUUCAGGGAAUGGAGGAGGCUCUGGGUAUGGAGGAGGUUCUGGAUAUGGAGGCAGCUCAGGCAGGAGAGGCUCCAUCUCUGGAGGAGGAGGAGGAAGCUCAGGUCAUGGAGGAUCCAGUUCUGGUGGGUGCAUUGGAGGGGGAGGAGGAGGUUCAGGGUAUGGAGGGAGCUCAGGGUAUGGAGGAGGCUCUGGAUAUGGAGGGAGCUCAGGGUAUGGGGGGAGUUCAGGCAGGAGAGGUUCCAUCUCUGGAGGAGGAAGCUCAGGUCAUGGUGGAUCCAGUUAUGGCAGUGGUGGAUCCAUCUGUGGAGGAGAAGGAGGCUCAGGGUAUGGAGGGAGCUCUGGGUAUGGAGGCAGCUCAGGCAGGAGAGGGUCCAUCUCUGGAGGAGGAGGAAGCUCAGGUCACGGAGGAUCCAGUUAUGGCAGUGGUGGGGGCAUUGGAGGGGGAGAAGGAGGCUCAGGGUGUGGAGGGAGCUCUGGGUAUGGAGGAGGCUCUGGAUAUGGAGGAGGUUCUGGAUAUGGAGGAGGUUCUGGAUAUGAAGGAGGUUCUGGAUAUGAAGGAGGUUCUGGAUAUGAAGGAGGUUCUGGAUAUGGAGGUUCUGGAUAUGGAGGAGGUUCAGGAUAUGGAGGAGGUUCAGGGUAUGGAGGCAGCUCAGGAUAUGCAGGAAGCUCAGGAUAUGAAGGUGGUUCAGGAUAUGGAGGAACCUCAGGCCGGAGAGGGUCCAUCUCUGGGGGAGGAGAAGGAGGAGGAGGAAGCUCCUUCUCUGGGGGUUGUGGGUCGAGCCCUGGGGGUUCCUGCCCUGCUGGCAGUGGGUGGGUCGGGGGUACAGCCUGGAGGGGGGGAUUG
ensembl:lncRNA